rnacentral:rRNA from 1 species
GACGAACCGUGCGAACGUUGUUCGGAAUCACUGGGCUUAAAGGGCGCGUAGGCGGGCAUUCAAGUCCGGGGUGAAAGCCCCCAGCUUAACUGGGGAAGGGCCUUGGAAACUGGAUGUCUCGAGGGAGGUAGGGGCCUGUGGAACUUCGGGUGGAGCGGUGAAAUGCGUAGAUAUCUGGAGGAACACCGGUGGCGAAGGCGGCAUCCUGGACCAAUAUUGACGCUGAGGAGCGGAAGCCAGGGGAGCAAACGGG